GACAGAGGGUGCAAACGUUGUUCGGAAUUACUGGCGUAAAGCGUGUGUAGGCGGCCAUAUAAGUCGGAUGUGAAAGCCCUGGGCUCAACCCAGGAAGUGCACUCGAUACUGUAUGGCUCGAGUAUUGGAGAGGUUGGUGGAAUUCUCGGUGUAGAGGUGAAAUUCGUAGAUAUCGAGAGGAACACCGGUGGCGAAGGCGGCCAACUGGACAGAUACUGACGCUGAGACACGAAAAGCGUGGGGAGCAAACAGG
rnacentral:rRNA from 1 species